AGAGUUUGAUCCUGGCUCAGAAUCAACGCUGGCGGCGUGCCUCAGACAUGCAAGUCGAACGCGAAAGUUCCUUCGGGAAUGAGUAGGGUGGCGCACGGGUGAGUAACACGUAGGUAAUCUACCUUUGGGUGGGGAAUAACAAUCGGAAACGAUUGCUAAUACCGCAUAAUGCAGCGGCUCGACAUCGAGACAGUUGUUAAAGCGGGGGAUCGUAAGACCUCGCGCCUAAAGAGGAGCCUGCGGCAGAUUAGCUAGUUGGCGGGGUAAUGGCCCACCAAGGCCACGAUCUGUAGCCGGCCUGAGAGGGCGGUCGGCCACACUGACACUGAAUAACGGGUCAGACUCCUACGGGAGGCAGCAGUCGGGAAUUUUGGGCAAUGGGCGAAAGCCUGACCCAGCAACGCCGCGUGAAGGAUGAAGUUUUUCGGAAUGUAAACUUCGCAAGAAUGGGAAGAAUAAAGCUGAAUCAAUACCUCAGCAUAUGACGGUACUAUUUGUAAGCUCCGGCUAACUCCGUGCCAGCAGCCGCGGUAAUACGGGGGGAGCAAGCGUUGUUCGGAUUUACUGGGCGUAAAGGGCGCGUAGGCGGCGUGACAAGUCACUUGUGAAAUCUCCGGGCUUAACUCGGAACGGUCAAGUGAUACUGUCAUGCUAGAGUGCGGAAGGGGCAACUGGAAUUCUUGGUGUAGCGGUGAAAUGCGUAGAUAUCAAGAGGAACACCUGCGGCGAAGGCGGGUUGCUGGGCCGACACUGACGCUGACAGCGCGAAAGCUAGGGGAGCGAACGGGAUUAGAUACCCCGGUAGUCCUAGCCUUAAACGAUGAAUGCUUGGUGUCUGGGGUUUUAUAUUCCCCGGGUGCCGUCGCUAACGCAUUAAGCAUUCCGCCUGGGGAGUACGGUCGCAAGACUGAAACUCAAAGGAAUUGACGGGG
rnacentral:rRNA from 1 species